rnacentral:rRNA from 1 species
AACGAACGCUGGCGGCAGGCCUAACACAUGCAAGUCGAGCGCCCCGCAAGGGGGAGCGGCGGACGGGUGAGUAACGCGUGGGAACGUACCCUUUGCUACGGAAUAGCCUCGGGAAACUGGGAGUAAUACCGUAUGUGCCCUUGGGGGAAAGAUUUAUCGGCAAAGGAUCGGCCCGCGUUGGAUUAGGUAGUUGGUGGGGUAAUGGCCUACCAAGCCGACGAUCCAUAGCUGGUUUGAGAGGAUGAUCAGCCACACUGGGACUGAGACACGGCCCAGACUCCUACGGGAGGCAGCAGUGGGGAAUCUUAGACAAUGGGCGCAAGCCUGAUCUAGCCAUGCCGCGUGAGCGAUGAAGGCCUUAGGGUUGUAAAGCUCUUUCAGUGGGGAAGAUAAUGACUGUACCCACAGAAGAAGCCCCGGCUAACUCCGUG